GUCCACACUGUAAACGUUGAUUACUCGCUGUGUGCGAUAUACAGUACGCGGCCAAGCGAAAGCGAUAAGUAAUCAACCUGGGGAGUACGCCGGCAACGGUGAAACUCAAAGGAAUUGACGGGGUCCGCACAAGCGGUUGAGCAUGUGGUUUAAUUCGAUGAUACGCGAGGAACCUUACCUGGGCUAGAAUGCCCUUGACCGAUCCAGAGAUGGAUUUUUCUAGCAAUGACAAGGAGCAAGGUGCUGCAUGGCUGUCGU
rnacentral:rRNA from 1 species